rnacentral:lncRNA from 1 species
GUCUUUAAAAUACUUUAUAGAGUGGGCCGAACGAGUUCAGAGUGGGAUAUUCCACGUGUGGGUUGCUCCUUCUGCCUGGGUCCCUGAGUGAGAAGAACUGCCCAUGGCCUCCAUAUACAUACUCUGUUCUAGGUGCUGAGGAUACGUCAGUUAAGAAGACAGUCAAAAUCCCUGCCCUCAUGAUGCUUAUAUUUUUGUGGUUUGGUCUGAAGACUGGACAGAUUGAGCAUAUUGAAAAGGGAGCUUUCUGCCUAAGCUGUCGGACAAAUUCAGUUCAAAGCCAUAGAUGUUGCUUUGUUCUUCCACUUUAAUUGAAAGAAUGAAGAAUAGCUGCCAGCGGUCCUACGAAUUUGAAGAUUUGAAGCCCAUUACGGUGUUGAAGACGGUUUUCUUCCCGUUGCCAUCAUUUCAAGUUAGAGUGGAUUUGACUCCGAGAGGCUCAGAACUGUACGUAAGCGGGACCACUCUUUUUCCUUCUCUGGACCCUGUGGAUGUAUUUCAUGAUCAAAUAGCCUUGCAAGAAGCUAUGGGCCUGCGCACCCGGGGUUGGUGGGGAUCCAAAUGGACCAAGGAGGACAGAAGGCCGGUGACCUGGUUUUUUAAAUCACAGCUCCCGGUCUUUUACCCUCUAGCUUUCUUCCCCAGGCUUAGGGUCCUCUCCGUGCUUCUCUCCACAGAUCUAAGCCCACUCCUUUCCCAGCAUCCUUUCCUGCGGCUUCUUGUAAAAUGCACACGGGGACACACUCACACGGCAUCUUGUGUGUAUCCCUUCAUGUUAAUCCUUUACUGCCUGACUUGUUUUUUCCCUAUUUACUUUCUUUACAUCGUUCCAGCAUUUACCCCUGCAACUCGAUAAAGUGCCUCUUGAUUCGCCCUUGUCUCUUUUUGCCUUGUCCCUGCGUCCUGGGUGCCGUCCCUUCUCCCCCAUGGGACUGGACUCCACCCGUAGGAAGGGUAUCUCUUCCUGCCUCUGGAUUUUUCCUUCUGCUCCCUGAACAGGAGGUGCUCGUCCUGAACACACCAUCGGAUGAUCCUUCAAGUCAGUGAAUUAUUUCUGAAAUUCUGAUUUAAGAUCUUGCUCUAAAUCUGGAUGGGAAUCCAGCAUUUGUCAAGAGCACAUUUUUGUUUUCUUUUUUUUUUUUUUGCAGGGGACGGGGGGGGUUAAAUGAGAGCUGCAGCUGCUGGCCUACACCACAGCCUCAGCAACAUGGGGUCCAAGCUGCAUCUGCAACCAGUGCCACAGUUUGCCACAACACUGCGACCAGGAUCAAACCCAAAUCCUCGCAGACACUCUUUUGGGUUCUUAACCUGCUGAGCCACAAUAGGAACUCUAAGAACAAAAUUUUCUUGCUUCUGACAUUAUUAGCUCAGGGGUGACAGGAGAAGUGAGAGAGAGAAAGAGAAACAAAACAAAACCCAUGAUUCUGGAGAUGAGCACAAUUUCUUGGGCCAAUUAACUGAGACAGUUCACAUGUUUAUUAUGUUUAAACUAUUGGGUGAUUAAUUUAGGGAGUUUUAUAGGCAGUUUAAUACUCUACUAGAAUCAGACAUAAGCCAGUUUAUAUAAAAGAAGAAACAACCCUGAGAUAGCUNAGGGCAGGGACCGAACCCGCAACCUCAUGGUUCCUAGUCGGAUUCGUUAACCACUGCGCCACAACGGGAACUCCCACAUGUUUAUUAUGUUUAAACUAUUGGGUGAUUAAUUUAGGGAGUUUUAUAGGCAGUUUAAUACUCUACCAGAAUCAGACAUAAGCCAGUUUAUAUAAAAGAAGAAACAACCCUGAGAUAGCUCUACCUCUGAUGAUGACUAUGACAAAUGAAAGAUGGGACAUUAAAGAAUUUUCCAUAAAUUGUAU